GACGAACGCUGGCGGCGUGCUUAACACAUGCAAGUCGAACGAAGAGCGAUGGAAGCUUGCUUCUAUCAAUCUUAGUGGCGAACGGGUGAGUAACGCGUAAUCAACCUGCCCUUCAGAGGGGGACAACAGUUGGAAACGACUGCUAAUACCGCAUACGAUCUAAUCUCGGCAUCGAGGAUAGAUGAAAGGUGGCCUCUACAUGUAAGCUAUCACUGAAGGAGGGGAUUGCGUCUGAUUAGCUAGUUGGAGGGGUAACGGCCCACCAAGGCGAUGAUCAGUAGCCGGUCUGAGAGGAUGCACGGCCACAUUGGGACUGAGACACGGCCCAGACUCCUACGGGAGGCAGCAGUGGGGAAUCUUCCGCAAUGGAAGAAAGUCUGACGGAGCAACGCCGCGUGAGUGAUGACGGCCUUCGGGUUGUAAAGCUCUGUUAAUCGGGACGAAAGGCCUUCUUGCGAAUAGUGAGAAGGAUUGACGGUACCGGAAUAGAAAGCCACGGCUAACUACGUG
rnacentral:rRNA from 1 species